UACAGAGGGUGCAAGCGUUGUUCGGAAUUACUGGGCGUAAAGCGCGUGUAGGCGGUCUUCCAAGUCCUGUGUGGAAGCCCUGGGCUCAACCCAGGAAGUGCGCAGGAUACUGGUUGACUGGAGUGGCGGAGAGGAUGGCGGAAUUCCCGGUGUAGAGGUGAAAUUCGUAGAUAUCGGGAGGAACACCUGUGGCGAAGGCGGCCAUCUGGACGUUCACUGACGCUGAGACGCGAAAGCGUGGGUAGCAAACAGG
rnacentral:rRNA from 1 species